CCAUUGAUCACGAAAAUAUCGCUUCUCAUGAAAUUAAUUUUUAAGCCUGACAAUAAUUCAUACAAAUACAAACUUAGCUUCAAAUGCAGCUCUUUCCAAGUAAUAUUUGAUACAAAUGAUAGUAUCAUUUGCAUGCUGCAAUAUUGCAAUGCCAGAAGGGUUAAUGUGAUCAUAGAGCCCAGUAAUCAAAUCAUUUUCUUUAGGCUUGUGAAUCAUUCUGGCCAAACUAUCUGCGACGAAGUUGAAGAGGAUAGUGGACAAAGGUCACCUUGCCUAACACCUUUGUAACUUUUAAUAUACUUCCCAGGUGCACGAGGGAAUAUGGUUGUUUGUUUAUAAACAAUGCUUACAAGUACCUCAAUGUAUCCGCCAUUAGUUGACAACAUUAGCUUUAGCUUUUCCUAUCAGUUUGUUUUCUGAAUGGUGCCUAGUGCCACCAGCUUUUCACUAUUUGGAGAUGCCAGACCAACCUCACCUCCAUACCACACUACAUAUCUUCUAUAUCAUCCUACAAAGAUUACUAUUAACUCUUAUCUAUCUACUAUUUGUUUGGAAAAGACUAACAUGAGAACAGACAAGUCACCUUAUGAAGUUAUCUGAAAUUUUCUUGGUUUCUUGGUGUCCUUGGUAUUUUUCAAAAGUGUGUGCUGUGACGUUCUUCUCUUCCUUUAUUGCAGACUUGGCAGCACAACGUUCCUAGUUUCCUACUGAUUGAAGUCAAAACCUAUUACAGACCACAUCCAAUUAGUAAAUCAACUGAAUUAGACAGUGUUUACCUCAUAUUCUACUCCAUUUCUCCUGUUUGAAUGUGAAACUGAUUCUUGGUAAUCAUCUUUCAUGUCAUGCAAAUGUUGCCCUGGUACAGUACGUACCCUGGGAAAUGUUAGCAGAAACGGCAAGAAAAACGAAGUAGAUCAACCAACAAAUCACAGAGCACGACACACAUAUUUACGUGGAAAACCCUUCAAUGCGAAGGGAAAAAUCACGGGCAUAGGCACGGAACCUUUACUAUAUACGGAGUGUUUACAGAAUGUCGUCUGUAGACGGUGGCUUACAAGAGGAGUAAAUAAUGACGACACACAGCAAACCCUAAUUAGGGUCACUAAUUAGGGCCGGAGUGUAGCGACGCCAACACGACCUUUAUAUGUAGAAUUUAGAUCACAAACUCAACAGAAAAACUGUUCAGUAGAAUCGGAGUCCACUGGCCUAGCUCCUGUAGGCACAUAAUUUGCCAUCUCCAACCAGAUUAAAUUAACAUCAUUAUAGCACAAUAUCGAGUGGAUAGAUGGCAAAUAUUUUUCUUUUUCCCCCUCAGAUUUCAUUUUGAUUUUUUGCACAGACCAAGCUGUUCUAUCUUUAAAGGCAUCCGAGUAG
rnacentral:lncRNA from 1 species